UUCUGCUGAGCCAGGGCCAGCCCUUUACAGAGGGCUGGUGAAGGCGUUGCCUUCAGUGGCAGAUUAUGCGGGCUGGCAAGCAUGCUGCUGGUGCCACCUGAGUCACACCAAUUGCCAGACCACACUGCCACACUUUACGGGGGCAGCCAGGGGCCCAUGCUUGCCCUGUGCUGUCGGCCACUCUGGGUGGUAUCAUCAUGUCCUUCGGCUUCCUCCCACUCGUUUGUUCCUCCCUUGCUGUGCUGCCUCCUGGUGUGGCAUCAUGUCCUCCAGAUGAGCUCUCUCCCAUUUGCUCACACACACACACACACACACACACACACCAGGCUUGUUCAUGGCCACCAUACCUCCUGCACAUCAUGUACCGCAGUGGGCCCAAACUGCCAUUGCCUGGGCUUGGGGUUGCAGAUCAUGAUGCCCAGCAAAUGAAGGUCCAGUUUGCCCCCACACACAUCCACACUGCUGCUGCUGCUGCAGACUGAACGUGCUGUGCAAGGUUCAAACUGAGCUGAGUGAGCGAGCUGCGUACUCAUUCAUUGUGUAUGGAAAUAUGAUGGGUUAGCACUGCAAGGAGCUUCCCGCUGUGACCAACCAGGCCGAACCUCAGCCAAGCCAACUGUCAUGCACACAACUUAUUUCCUGUUUGGGGUCCAGGCCCUUGAGAAACAAAGUCUGCCUAGUGGAUGGGAAGUAGAAGAAACUUUCACUGUCAGCAACUGAAUUUCCAAUUAAGUGUGAGCUGAGCAUUUGCUUCGCUGAGGGCUUUGACAGGAGAGCAGCACUAGAACAAAGGGAAGUUCCAGAAAUGAAACCACGUUCUACUUGAUGGGGCGGGGACGACGAUGACACAAAAGGGGUUUUUUUUAAGAGUUGCAUGUGCUAAGUUUGUACUUUGGUUGGAGAAGCAAAAAAAGUUCUGCUUGAUGGAAAAAACAAACAUCGUUUUUUGAAGAGCUGUUUAUGGUGUGUCCAAACAAGCAGCAAAAACUGUAGCAUGAAGGAAAAGGCAAACUCUGGUGAGUUUCAUGCCUAUCCAUCAGAUUUUGCCCCAAGAUCUUCUCUUUCUUUAGAUAACACAUCCUCAUAGCACUCAGUCAGCUUCCUAUAAUUAACAGCAACCAACUGCAAGGAAACAAUGGUCCAGUUUGUGGAGCAAAAUAGUUUCAGAUGUAUUUUCUCCUCUCCCUGUUGAAAGUGUUCAAAUGCGGCAAGACAUUUGGAUGACGUUAUCACAAAGAUUAUUUUUAUUUGUAAUCCACCCAGAGAUUUUAUAUGGGAUGGAUAGAAAUGCAAUAAAGUUUGAUAGAUAGAUAGA